ensembl:antisense Gm14097 predicted gene 14097
CCAGGCUCCACUUCAAAGGGCAAAGCCAACAGAGCAUCCUAGAGGCAGUGGCUGCUCAACAAUGCACAGUGCCAACCAUCUAGGUUUGAAAGCAGAAAGCUUCACCAUCAACCAAGGUCAUGACCGCUCGACAGGUUGUGAAAUCUGAAGUUGGGAAGAGGUGCCAGUCCCCAUUCUAAGACGGUCCUGUAAAGUUCCAGGCUAGCCUGUGCUAUGACUGAGACCUUGCCUCAAAUGAACAAGCAAACAAAAGAGAACGGAAACCCUGAAGCCCGUCUUCUCCCCCUACCACCCUCCCAGGAGUUAGAAAAGAGGCCCUGCCUCAGAUAAGCCACCUGGGGCUCGCUCUGCAUGACAUAUGUCUGGGCUUUGGAGGAUGCCCGCUGACUACAUCACUGUGUGGAGGCUGCCCCAGGCCAUGACUGUACGCUCCACUCUUUACCAACUCAUGCCUGAAUUUCAUGGCGAUG